UUGUACUUAUACACUGCAUCUGAACAGGGAACAGUCUGCCACAUUAAUGUAUUUUUAAGUGACUUGUUUGUAAUACAUGAAUUUGUUUCUUACAGAUGUCAAAGUCUCAACCUCAUGCUGCCCUCCCCCAUCCUCCUAAAGUUCAAUGGUACGUGUUCUUCUAAUGGCCGUCUUCCCACUGGAGGUUUUGAUCCACAGCAAUUUAAAAGGAGGACAAAGCAAAACGGACAUCGGCGCAGAGUGAAGAACUGCCCUUCAUAAGGACACUAUGACAGCCAUAUAUAUGGCGGUAAGGAAGAGGUUUCCCAAUGUGUCCAGAAGGGCUUUGAGGAUUGCAGUGAAAGCUGAGGGAACUGAGACUGCUGGAAAAGGAA